CGAAAUGUCUCGUCUUUUAAAUGUUGUAAAAAGAGUUGUGUUUACAAGCACAAUUAUUGGAGGUGGUGCAUGUAGCCUUAUACUUUACAAUGUUGGAACUUCGUCAUGGUCAGAUUCACAUACAUGGUCGUCAGCUACCAGACACUAUUUAACAAAUAAGUUUAUGGUAGUUCUUGGUUUUAUCUCAUUCAGGGAUCUAGUUAAAAAUUCAAGGAAUGUCCGAGAAACCCAGGAGAACCUCCUCAUGGACAACCUCGUGAAGAACACUGCUACCCUCUACGGGAAGGAGUUUGGGUUUGAGAAAAUGAAUUCUGUUGCGGAGUUCAGGAAGCAACAUCCUCUCACUAGAUAUUCACAUUACCAACCUUACGUAGAGAAAAUUCAAAAUGGAGAUUUAUUAGCUCUGACAGCAGAUAUCCCACUACAACUGGCUGUUACUUCAGGUACUAGUGGUAAAAGUUCUCUGUUGCCCACUACUAACUUUAUAUUCACCAGAUUUUUUCUUUCUGGGAUUGCACUACUUUUUCAACGAUUACAGGAAACGCAUCCUGAGUGGGUCACUCUGCAGAAAUCCAUGAAAUUAUUCUAUACUCCAAGAUGGAAGUACACCGAGACUGGAUUAAGGAUCGGACCUAACAGUUCUAAUCCGGAUUCUGCGCAGAGAAUAUAUCAUCUUUACUCCACCCCUCCCCCAGCAUACAGGAUAUUAACAGAACCUGAGGCACUGUAUAUUCAUUUAUUAUUUGGAUUAUUGGAUCAAAAUCUGGGAAAUAUAGAGGCUAAUUUUGCAUCCACAGUAUAUACAGGUUUCCGAACCUUAGAGAGUAGAUGGGAGGAGCUAGUCCAGGAUAUACAAACCGGAACAAUUAAUUCCAAUCUUAAUAUUCCUUCAGAUAUCAGGGAGCAAUUGGAAGCAGUUAUGAAACCGAACCCUGAGAGAGCGGAGGAGUUGAGAAAGGAGUUUACUGCAGGGUUUGAGAAUAUAGCGAAGAGAAUCUGGCCAAAUCUUAAUCUUAUCAUGUGCACAACCACAGGAACUAUGAAAAUGUAUACAAGUUCGUUGAAAAGUAAAUAUUGCCGGGACACCCAGACUUAUUCUCCUAUCUACGGAGCAUCAGAGGGAUUGCUAGGAGUGAACUUGUAUCCAGAUAGUACCCAGUCCCUUUACUGUUUAAUCCCUUCAGCACAGUUCUUCGAGUUUAUCCGGCAGGAGGAUUCCGAUACAGAUAAUCCGGAUACAUUACUCCUUCAUCAGCUAGAGAAGGGUCAAGCGUAUGAGGUGGUUGUAACUAAUGGAAGUGGUCUCUAUAGAUAUAGAAUGGGAGAUGUAGUUCAGGUCGAAAGUUUUUUUAAUGAACUUCCUAUGGUUCGUUUUCUUCAUAGACAGGGCCAGAUGUUAAAUGUUCACGGAGAAAAAAUUUCAGAAGAGGUUUUCUUUACAACCCUGAAAAAAUGUGAGAAAACCUGGAAUAUUAGACUGCGUGACUAUACUACUGCCGAGAGUGUUCUAUCUGAAUCUAGCGCACUGCCCCACUACCUUCUGUUUAUUGAACCUGAAUCUGAGUGUUGUGACCUGAACCUGGAUUUACCAGACACAACCUUGCGGUCAGAUCAUCCUGUCUACGAAUCCUUCAGAGCUAAAGGAAGCAUUGAUAAGAUUCAAGUAAUCCAGGUAAAACGUGGCAGCUUUCAAGCUCUCCAAGAGAUGAUGUUAGCAACAUCAAUGGCUUCUUCAAAUCAAUUCAAGGUUCCAAGAGUAUUAAGAAAAGAGGAACAUGUUAAAUAUCUUCUGGAGAAUAGUAUCUAGUGGAAGAAACUAGUUUGGUUUAAAUCUUUUUUGUAAUCCCUCUGUAAGCCCAAAUCUAAGAUCAAAGUGAGAUUUUUAAAAAAGGGACAUGCCUGAUUCACAAUGAUGGAACAGUUUGCCAAUGGUUAUUAAAAAUGCCACCUCAUUGAUUAGUUUUAGGAUUAUGUAUAUUUCUUCAAUGUGAUGGGUGUCAGGGGCGCCGAGAUCCCUGGUGAAGGUGUCAUGGGUGCCGAGAUCCCUGGUGAAGGUGUCAGGGGCGCCAAGAUCCCUGGUUCAGCUUAAUGGAAACAGAAAAGAUAUAUUGACUCGCUGAAAAUGUCACAAAAGUGAUCUCCCAGCGAAAAAUUUUCCA
rnacentral:misc_RNA from 1 species